GUAAAUCAUUUGCACUGACAUACAUAAAUGUUAUGGCCAAUGCCCAACAUCUAGCCAAUUCACAAACUGGUUGGCCACUUUUAGGUUUGGCCAAAGUCCAAAAUAUAUGAGAAUUUACAACUAUUUUGGACUUUGGCCAGCCAAUCCACAAUGCGCUCAACAAUCAGUGGCCAAUUUGAGAUUUGUCCAAGAAAAAGUGACCAAGCCUAGAAGUUUUGAGGAGCUAUGUAGCAGAGUGUAUUCUUGCAAUUUUGGUUAUUCACCAGCAAGAAUGGGAUUGUUUGUCACAUCACAUGUUGGUCUUACAAUAUUGAUGCAAGGGAUUAUAAAACUAAUAUGAAUGGG
rnacentral:lncRNA from 1 species